GACGUAGGGGGCCAGCGUUGCUCGGAAUUACUGGGCGUAAAGGGUUCGUAGGCGGUGCGGUAAGUCGGAAGUGAAAUCUCUGGGCUUAACUCAGAGGCUGCUUUCGAAACUGCCGCGCUAGAGUGCGGGAGAGGCGAGUGGAAUUGCAGGUGUAGCGGUGAAAUGCGUAGAUAUCUGCAGGAACACCCGUGGCGAAGGCGGCUCGCUGGACCGCAACUGACGCUGAGGAACGAAAGCUAGGGGAGCAAACAGG
rnacentral:rRNA from 1 species